rnacentral:rRNA from 1 species
UACAGAGGGUGCGAGCGUUAAUCGGAAUUACUGGGCGUAAAGCGUGCGUAGACGGUUCUGUAAGUCGGAUGUGAAAUCCCCGGGCUCAACCUGGGAAUUGCAUUCGAGACUGCAAAGCUUGGGUGCGGAAGAGGGAAGCGGAAUUUCCGGUGUAGCGGUGAAAUGCGUAGAGAUCCGGAGGAACACCGACGGCGCAGGCAGCGUCCUGGCCGCUUGCUGACACUGAGGCACGAAAAGCUGGGGGGAGCAAACAGG